AAAUUGAAGAGUUUGAUCAUGGCUCAGAUUGAACGCUGGCGGCAGGCCUAACACAUGCAAGUCGAACGGUAACAGGAAGCAGCUUGCUGCUUCGCUGACGAGUGGCGGACGGGUGAGUAAUGUCUGGGAAACUGCCUGAUGGAGGGGGAUAACUACUGGAAACGGUAGCUAAUACCGCAUAAUGUCGCAGGACCAAAGAGGGGGACCUUCGGGCCUCUUGCCAUCAGAUGUGCCCAGAUGGGAUUAGCUUGUUGGUGAGGUAACGGCUCACCAAGGCGACGAUCCCUAGCUGGUCUGAGAGGAUGACCAGCCACACUGGAACUGAGACACGGUCCAGACUCCUACGGGAGGCAGCAGUGGGGAAUAUUGCACAAUGGGCGCAAGCCUGAUGCAGCCAUGCCGCGUGUAUGAAGAAGGCCUUCGGGUUGUAAAGUACUUUCAGCGGGGAGGAAGGGGAUAAGGCUAAUAACCUUGUUCAUUGACGUUACCCGCAGAAGAAGCACCGGCUAACUCCGUGCCAGCAGCCGCGGUAAUACGGAGGGUGCAAGCGUUAAUCGGAAUUACUGGGCGUAAAGCGCACGCAGGCGGUCUGUCAAGUCGGAUGUGAAAUCCCCGGGCUCAACCUGGGAACUGCAUUCGAAACUGGCAGGCUUGAGUCUUGUAGAGGGGGGUAGAAUUCCAGGUGUAGCGGUGAAAUGCGUAGAGAUCUGGAGGAAUACCGGUGGCGAAGGCGGCCCCCUGGACAAAGACUGACGCUCAGGUGCGAAAGCGUGGGGAGCAAACAGGAUUAGAUACCCUGGUAGUCCACGCCGUAAACGAUGUCUACUUGGAGGUUGUGCCCUUGAGGCGUGGCUUCCGGAGCUAACGCGUUAAGUAGACCGCCUGGGGAGUACGGCCGCAAGGUUAAAACUCAAAUGAAUUGACGGGGGCCCGCACAAGCGGUGGAGCAUGUGGUUUAAUUCGAUGCAACGCGAAGAACCUUACCUGGUCUUGACAUCCACAGAACUUUCCAGAGAUGGAUUGGUGCCUUCGGGAACUGUGAGACAGGUGCUGCAUGGCUGUCGUCAGCUCGUGUUGUGAAAUGUUGGGUUAAGUCCCGCAACGAGCGCAACCCUUAUCCUUUGUUGCCAGCGGUCCGGCCGGGAACUCAAAGGAGACUGCCAGUGAUAAACUGGAGGAAGGUGGGGAUGACGUCAAGUCAUCAUGGCCCUUACGACCAGGGCUACACACGUGCUACAAUGGCGCAUACAAAGAGAAGCGACCUCGCGAGAGCAAGCGGACCUCAUAAAGUGCGUCGUAGUCCGGACUGGAGUCUGCAACUCGACUCCAUGAAGUCGGAAUCGCUAGUAAUCGUGGAUCAGAAUGCCACGGUGAAUACGUUCCCGGGCCUUGUACACACCGCCCGUCACACCAUGGGAGUGGGUUGCAAAAGAAGUAGGUAGCUUAACCUUCGGGAGGGCGCUUACCACUUUGUGAUUCAUGACUGGGGUGAAGUCGUAACAAGGUAACCGUAGGGGAACCUGCGGUUGGAUCACCUCCUUACCUGAAAGAA
rnacentral:rRNA from 1 species